rnacentral:tRNA from 1 species
GAAUUAGUAACUUAAUAGGUAAAGGACUUCUUUGUCACAGAAGUAGAUAUCGGUUCAAAUCCGUUCUAAUUCG